CUACUGCCAGACAUUUGUAUCACAGGCUCAUUUAAUCUAAUCCUGACAAUAAUCGCAUGAUUUUGCAGGUGAGGAAACAGGCGCAGGAAGGCUAACAAUUUACCCAAGUUCCCAUGGCUGGGCUCAUUUAAACGUGGAGACAGUUCUACCACGAGGCCAUCGCAUCCUCUGUCAUGGACAUCUGUUGCUGCAGGCCUAGUAUCUGCUGCCUGCUUUUCAGGUAAUAGCAUUUUGUUUUUUGGAGAAUCAGCCUCCCCACCCCAUUCUCAGCUCAUAGGUUUCUGAUGGGACUUUCCCAUCCAUCUUAUUCCAGGGCCUGACCAACCGGAAUAUUACUAUUUCCCAGCUUCAACGACUGGUUUAGGAAUGAACACAUGAUCCGAGCCAGGUCAGUGAAAAUUAAUUUUGGAACUUUGGCAAUAAAGAAGUUUUCUGCUUUGUGAUUGU
rnacentral:lncRNA from 1 species